CCAAGUGGCCCCCCCUCUGAGUUGGACAAUGGGUCUUUUAGAACAGAGAGGUGGAGUUUUCAGAAUCCCAUGAGCUGAUCGCUUCCACAGAAUCCUUUAAUAAUGGAAGCCCUGCAUAGGACAAGAAGACCUGGAAUCUGCCUGCAAGAGUCAUCCCCCAUUCCUCUUGGGAACCACCAGGUUAUGAACUGAGUGCCUGCCAGGUGAGGAAGACAUGGACCAAAGCAUUCUCAUGUCCUGUCUUCUGGAAGCAUACUGUCCAGGGCUCUGCCACACUGACUCUUUGCUGCAAGGACCACGUGAAGAAUUUUCCAUCUUCUUGUGUUGCAGUUUGCCUUCACAUUUAUCCUUUCAAAGUUGAACAAGGCAAUAGUAACUCCAAGCAUCAGAACUUCAAACAAAACUGUUCAAAUUCUGAAAAAGAAGUGAGCAUCCUUCCUAAGAUAGAGGAUACAUCACUCAGAAACUCUCCAGACUUCUGAGAGACAUCUCACAUCUCAUUGACCAGAACUGCACCCCAUU
rnacentral:lncRNA from 1 species